GAUGAACGCUGGCGGCGUGCUUAAUACAUGCAAGUCGAGCGGACGGACGAUGCUCUUACUGUUCUCAUGUUACCGACGGACGGGUAAGUCACGGGUGGAUUGCCUUCCUAUAAGGCUUAGGCCACUGCGGGAGACCGGAGUUAAUACCGGGUGAUAUUUUUAGCCGCAUGGUUCGAAAGUGUAUUACGUUCUGGCUGUCACUUCGACAUGGAUCCGCGGUGCUUGAGUUAGUUGGUAAGGUAGCGGCUUACCAAGGCGACGAUGCCUAGCCGACCGGAGAGGGGGUUGGGCGACACUGAGAGUGGACCACGGUCCAGACUCCUACGGGCGGCAGCAACAGGGAAGGUUGGGCGAUGGGCGGAAGCCUGACGGAUCAACGCCGCGUGGGUGAAGAGGGUCUGCGUAUCGUAAAACUCUGUUAUUAGGGAAGAACACAUGUGUAAGUGACUGUGCACAUCGUGACGGUACCUAAUCAGGAAGCCACGGCUAACUACGUG
rnacentral:rRNA from 1 species